AAAUUAUUAUCACAUGCUACCUGACGAAAAGGAUAAAGAAAAUAACUCUUACAUAUGGAGGAAUCUUGAAAGGAAGAUAAUCAAUAGCCAAGUGAGCCGAAUGGAGAAUAUAAAGCAGCAAAUCAACUACAAAAACUAGUAGGCAAAAAGACUUGAAAACACAUAUCAAAAGACAAAAUUUGAUACAGUAAGAUGAAAU
rnacentral:lncRNA from 1 species